AAAAUUCGUUGGUUCAAGUCCCUCCACCCCCA
rnacentral:tRNA from 1 species